UUUAAAGGCAAACUUGCUGAAAGGCAGGGACGCAAAGCCAGAAGGGGCUAAAGUCAGAAAGUCUGACCAUGUCAGCCGGUUGCUG
rnacentral:ncRNA from 1 species